AAGUCGUAACAAGGUUUCCGUAGGUGAACCUGCGGAAGGAUCAUUAUUGAAUACAACAGUUGAGGUUGUUGCUGGUUCCAGUUAGGUUCAAGUGCACACCUUGCUAUUGUCUUAUUUCCACCCGUGCACUCUUGUAGCCAUCAUCUAAUUUUGAAUUUUGUGUUAUGCUUGAAAAAAGAGCAUGCUAGAGAUUGAGUUCGUGUAACUCUUUCUUGGUCGAAAUUCGUUGAUUUUGGCUAUGUUUCAUUUUUCACUGUUAUAUAUAUGUAUUGAAAGUGUUUAUUGGUUUUUGAAACCUUCUAAUCUUAACACAACUAUUGGCAACGGAUCUCUUGGCUCAC
rnacentral:misc_RNA from 1 species